rnacentral:rRNA from 1 species
AACGAACGCUGGCGGCGGGCCUAACACAUGCAAGUCGAACGCCCCGCAAGGGGAGUGGCAGACGGGUGAGUAACACGUGGGAACAUGCCCUUCGGUUCGGAAUAACUCAGGGAAACUUGAGCUAAUACCGGAUACGUCCGAGAGGAGAAAGAUUUAUCGCCGAAGGAUUGGCCCGCGUCUGAUUAGCUUGUUGGUGAGGUAACGGCUCACCAAGGCGACGAUCAGUAGCUGGUCUGAGAGGAUGAUCAGCCACACUGGGACUGAGACACGGCCCAGACUCCUACGGGAGGCAGCAGUGGGGAAUAUUGGACAAUGGGCGCAAGCCUGAUCCAGCCAUGCCGCGUGAGUGACGACGGCCCUAGGGUUGUAAAGCUCUUUUGCCUGGGAAGAUAAUGACGGUACCAGGAGUAUAAGCCCCGGCUAACUUCGUGCCAGCCGCCGCGGUAA